rnacentral:tRNA from 1 species
GGCUCUGUGGCGCAAUGGACAGCGCAUUGGACUUCUAGUCGGGCACUAUGAGGGGUGAUUCAAAGGUUGUGGGUUCGAGUCCCACCAGAGUCG